UUUAUCGGAGAGUUUGAUCCUGGCUCAGGACGAACGCUGGCGGCGUGCCUAAUACAUGCAAGUCGAGCGGACAGAUGGGAGCUUGCUCCCGAAUGUUAGCGGCGGACGGGUGAGUAACACGUGGGUAACCUGCCUGUAAGACUGGGAUAACUCCGGGAAACCGGGGCUAAUACCGGAUGGUUGUUUGAACCGCAUGGUUCAAACAUAAAAGGUGGCUUC
rnacentral:rRNA from 1 species